AUGGCGACUCUUCGCCGAACGUGUUCUUUUUCCCUGUGUGCUUUCCCUCGGUGGUGUUGGAAACUUCCGGGUGCAUCAGAUAGAAAAAUGGUCGCAGGGAGUGCCCUGCCGUUAAUUGGAGGUACAGGAGAUGCGGACUGGCAACCAAGCAAGGACCUGGGUUCAUAUGACCUUUCGCCAGCAAGUCUUUCAGGAGAGGAGCUGGCAUUCGACAUGAACAGUGGUGCUAUUCAUGGAAGCUGGAGGGAUGCUGCCCCUGAUCGCAGUGGGAGUGCACCUCCUAGCAUGGAGGGGUCUUUGGCUGAACUUGGUCACCUCAUAGGCAAGCACAGUGGGAACCUUGAGGCCACAUUGAGGAACUUGAGCUCUGGAGCUGUCAGUUCAGAGUCGGAGCUAUGCUCUGAUCCGGCAUACUUGAAAUAUUAUGGCUGCAAGGUGAAUUUGAACCCAAGGCUUCCUGCACCGCUUGUCUCAAGAGAGAGCAGAAGGUUGAUGAACCGGUCUAGCAAAGCUGGAGAAUGGAGGCCAUUAUAUGAUCACAGCAGCAGUGACAGGUCCUUGACUCAUCGUUCUACUCUAUCAACGCACAAGGAGGAGCCUGAGGAUGACAGUUCAUCGAAGUUAGAUUCAAGCUCGGCAGAGGAUGCUGGAUGUCAUACUGACCAAAGCACAUCUAGCAUAGGGUGUCACAGCUCAAAACUUGUAGGCUUAAUGCAGGAAAACUUUCCUCGCAGCACUGAUUUGUACAAUAAUUCUUCUGGUCCUUCAAAUACCAAUUCUGGUGAUGAAGAAUCUGUCUGUUGCAUCAGCUCAUCAAUGAAUUCUCCACAUGCUAUUGUCAAGUCAUCAGAUUUGAAUGGAUUUCCAAUAGAUACCCCUCAACGGCCAUGUGGACCUAUUGGGAGUCCAGUGAGAAAUACACUUAGUAGCAACAGUCUCGCAGCUUCAUCUCCUUCGACUUCAUCCAGUUCUGUGAAUAAUAUCAUGGGCGCUUCUCAGCAGGGAAAUCCGAGUACUGAAAUUAAGUCUGGUGGUGCAGUGCGUGCCAUACUUAAUGGUGUGGACUCCAGUAUGAAAAACCUGAAUAUUAAUCUGGAUACCCAGGGUAGUGCACAUGUUAGGCAACAGCGGCAGAACAAUGUCUUAUUGCAGAAUAGCUCAUCACACUGUGAUCGUACUCAAAUGAUUCCCCAAGGCAUCAAUCUUCCUCAAGUUCCGUUUGUGAAUAACUUCUCUCAUGCUCAUAUGAAUCUAUAUUCUGGUGACAUUCAGUUGAUGUCCCAGCAUGGAAUGCCAACGCCUUUUUAUACACAGAGUCCGUAUUAUCAGAAUUCACAGUUACCUGGUGUCUUGAUGCCCCCAUAUGGAAUUGAUGGCCAUGGAUUGCCUAGUUCAUUCUUGCCACCUUUUAUGACUAACUUUGCUCCUCAGCUUCCUGUCAUGACACCUUUUGAUACUCCUCUUACUCCGACCUUUAGUGGUAGACUAGCUGGUUUUCCUUCAACAGGAAAUAUUGCUGUAGGAGCUGAAUUUUCGAACCCAUUUAAGAUUUAUGAGCAACCUGGGGUGACUAUGCCACCAUCUGUACCUGAUCUUAGCCUCAUUCAUUAUUUCCAGCAACCAUCUAUGUAUCACUAUGGUCUUGGAAAUCCAUAUGAUACGGUGAGGCCAAGUAGUAAUUUUGUAGGUAACUUUACUGCUCCUUUUGGUUCAGAAAAAGUUGUGCCAGGAAUCAUGCACCAGUCAGGACAGAAAGUUCAGUUUCCAAAUACUGGAGCUUGUAGCUCCUCUACAACCAGAAAACAAGGAAGUUAUGUUGGAAAUCAUCCAGGCACCUCACCUUACAUCAGUACACCAAUGCCAUAUCCUACAACUCCGGUGUCUCAUGGCCAACCUUCAUCAGGAACAUAUCCUUGUGACAGGAGAAAUGGUGUACCGGGAUUCCAGUCCCCAUCAAAAACUAUGGGCAUUAGUCAUGGGAUUCAAGGGCAGCGAGAGGGGGAGAAAUCAGAUCCCAGUCCACACUGUUCUGUUGGUGAAGUUAGGUCCAACAAAGCCCACAUGGUUGAGUUAUCUGACAUCAAAGGCCAUAUAGCGGAAUACAGCUCUGACCAAAAUGGCAGUCGAUUCAUUCAGCAGAAGCUGGAGAAUGGCAGCACUGAAGACAAGGCCUUAGUGUUUGCUGAAAUCCUUCCUCAUGCUUCAUCGUUGAUGACUGAUGUAUUUGGAAAUUAUGUGAUCCAAAAGAUGUUUGAACAUGGGGACUGUAAGCAGAGAAGAGACCUUGCCAAAAAGCUUGCUGGUCAUGUGUUAACUUUGAGCCUUCAGAUAUAUGGUUGCCGAGUAUUUCAGAAGGCCCUUGAAGCAAUUGAGCUUGAUCAAAAAAUAGAACUUGUUCGUGAGCUUGAUGGACAUGUUCUAGAAUGUGUUCGCGACCAAAAUGGGAAUCAUGUUAUACAGAAGUGUGUUGAGUGUGUCCCUGUGGAGCAUAUUGGCUUUGUGGUGUCGGCUUUUCAGGGACAAGUUGCCACCCUAGCCAUGCAUCCAUAUGGUUGUCGUGUUAUUCAGAGAAUCCUCGAGCAUUGCAGCAAUGGUUCAGAUGGUUUAAUAGAUGAAAUCUUGCAGUCCACUUGCAUCCUGGCACAAGAUCAGUAUGGAAAUUAUGUCACACAGCAUGUUUUGGAGAAAGGAAAAGCGCAUGAAAGGAGCCAAAUCAUCAGUAAAUUGGCUAGGCAGGUCGUGUCCAUGAGCCAAAACAAAUUUGCAUCUAAUGUCAUAGAGAAGUGUUUCCAACAUGGGGAUGUAGCAGAGCGGGAUCUUUUGAUCAAGAAGAUUCUGGAACAGACUGAGGGAAAUAAUUAUUUGCUGGUGAUGAUGAAGGACCAGUUUGCUAAUUAUGUGGUUCAGAAGAUACUUGAAACAUGCAAUGGACAACAGAGGGAUGCUCUUGUCAGUCGUAUGAAGGGUCACUUGCAAGCGCUGAGGAAGUACACCUACGGCAAGCAUAUCGCCAGCCGAAUCGAGCAGUUCUCUGGUGAUGGUGCUGCGCCGCCGGGCUCCCAGAAGAAAGCCUGA
rnacentral:rRNA from 1 species